rnacentral:rRNA from 1 species
UUCAUCGCUCGCGAUGUUUAACUGACAUGAUUGUGGGACGUCCUACCGGUGGACUUAGCUCUCUUCGCAAGGGGAGGGCGGUCCAACUAAUAUCCCAUCGCGGUGCUCUUCAUCGAGUGUCGAGGUGGGCCGGUACGUUUACUUUGAACAAAUUAGAGUGCUCAAAGCAGGCUCAUUUCGCCUGAAUACUGUGUGCAUGGAAUAAUGGAAUAGGACCUCGGUUCUAU